UAUACAGUCAUAAAUACUGGUCGCCCACUGAAGCUAAGCAGGGUUGAGCCUGGUCAGUACCUGGAUGGGAGACCUCCUGGGAAAACUAGGUUGCUGCUGGAA
rnacentral:rRNA from 1 species